AGUGAACGCUAGCGGUAGGCCUAACACAUGCAAGUCGAACGGCAGCACAGUAAGAGCUUGCUCUUACGGGUGGCGAGUGGCGGACGGGUGAGGAAUACAUCGGAAUCUACUUUUUCGUGGGGGAUAACGUAGGGAAACUUACGCUAAUACCGCAUACGACCUACGGGUGAAAGCAGGGGAUCUUCGGACCUUGCGCGAAUGAAUGAGCCGAUGUCGGAUUAGCUAGUUGGCGGGGUAAAGGCCCACCAAGGCGACGAUCCGUAGCUGGUCGGAGAGGAUGAUCGGCCACACUGGAACUGAGACACGGUCCAGACUCCUACGGGAGGCAGCAGUGGGGAAUAUUGGACAAUGGGCGCAAGCCUGAUCCAGCCAUACCGCGUGGGUGAAGAAGGCCUUCGGGUUGUAAAGCCCUUUUGUUGGGAAAGAAAAGCAGCAGGUUAAUACCCCGCUGUUCUGACGGUACCCAAAGAAUAAGCACCGGCUAACUUCGUG
rnacentral:rRNA from 1 species